GGUGGUGCCGCUGGGUGUAAUUUCAGAAGAUUCCAGAAGGUGGUGCUGGAAGCUAAGAAAUGCCUGCCCGCCGCUGGCGCCUGUGCUCGGUCUGGGCUGAUUCUUGGUUUGGGGACAGCAGAGGACACAGCUCUUGGAACAGGGACCCAAUCCCAGAACUGAAGAAGUCCUGCCACAGCCCAUAGACAUCUGUGUACAUGUGGCGCCUGUUUGGCCUGAAUGGGAAGCCAUGGACCCCUCUUCGUAGGUUUCGUAACCAGCUGCUAGAGAGAACCCAGGAGUGCCAGAGCCAUUGCGUCGCGCUCUCCGGGGUCCCUCGCGCCCGCAGCGGCGGCUCCCCACCCUGCAUUGCAGGUCACCCGCAGUCCCAGCAGGCGCGCACCCACGGGCACCAGCUCUGCUAACGCUGAGCUGGGAACAGCAGCACAGAAAUCCCCGCGGGCUCCGCGCUGGGAACCCAGUGAUGCUGAGACCGGAACGCCUGGGGUGGCGGACGCGGACCAGGCAGGGCCAGGGGUUGCUGGUGAGAGCCGCGCUGUCCAACCCCAGCCCUGCGGCCUUCCCCUGCUCAGUCCUCCCCCUGCAGACCUGGCUGGGGCUCGGAGCCCACACCGACCCCCUGGAGGUGGGGAAGCGCCCGGCUCCAAUGCUCUCAGGACGCUGCCAUCACUGGCUGUCCUGGGGCACGCUGUCCACUCUGUCGAAAGCCAGCACCCCAGCCAGGAGGCCCAUGCCCGUCUCUGGAGCUCCAGCAUCCGUCGAAGCAGGCCAACGGCCCCUUGGGGCUGGAAGGGCGCCCAGGGCUCAUGGUGGGUCCUGGGCCUUUAGAGCCGGCGGGCGGCACACGUGCUCCAAGCAAAGAGGACAGAAGGCCCAGACCCACUAGGGGUGCAGUCGUGGGCUCCAGCACCUGCAGAUAUGUGCCCCAGGCCCACUCGGGGACCAGAGUACUCGGGGCCCUGCCGGAGAAGAUCCCGGCUCACUGGGUGCAGCAGACGGGUUCCCUCACCCCAUCCACACACGGCUGAGCCAUCAGCAGUGCUGAGCACCUGCCCUCAGCAUAGCCCAGAGCCAGAACCCCCGGCUCCCAGUGUGCCCCCCCCCACCAUCCUGCCAGGGCCACCAAAAUGCCUAGGAAGCAGCAGACUCGUCCACUCAGUUCCGGGUCCCAGACAUCUGAGGUCAGAGUGCCCAGGGCCAUGCUCCCUCGGGAGGCCCAGGCCACACCUGUCCUGCAGCUUCAGGCUCUGGUGCUGGGGGCCUUUGUGGCCUUGUGACCUCGUGGCCUCGUGACUCUGUGAUUCCACUCCAUGCCUCUGUCCUCAUGCGUGUGGUCUCCCGAGUAUCUGCGUCCGGUCCUCCCACUAAAUAGGGGCACCAGUCACUGGCAGGGGGGCCCAGGACUGACCCAUUGUAGCAAAUUCCAUCUGCAAAGUUCCUCUUCCAACUGUCCCGAGGUUCUGGGAGACAUGAAUGUGUGGGGACACCCCAUGGCCCCAUACAGUGGGGUUAGGAGAAGGAUCCCUUAACAGAACUGCUUAGAUAACUGCUGUCAGCUGGGCGGCUCCUUCCCGCCUGUACCUGAAGGGACGGAGAUGCCUCCAGCCCAGCCGGAGGAUGGCCUCCGCGUCGCAACGGGACCUCGCUUACCGUGCUCCAGUUGUGUCCGUCCCCCUCCCUGGAGCUCAGCCGGGCCACCUGCCCCCAGGGUUCAGGCCUUUGAGGAAAGUAAAACGUUUACACGUUUACGUGGA